AUCUGCAUCCUCUCAAUCUGACAACUACAGUCCUUGCCUGUUUCUAUCUGUGUUUCAUCCAUUGUUCCUCCUACAAAGAAAUCUUUGCAGCCUUUGGGGAAAUCAAACGUAUGGAGAAGGAAAGGAGAAUGGAGAUGGAGAGAUGAUCUCGUAACAGUCCUGGUGUCACCGCUCCAAUCUCCAGACUCAGCAGUCCCAAGACUCUGAUGCACUUUUGCCUGAUCUCAGAGACAGUGGAUAAAGCAGCCCUGAGGAUAUGUAGGCACCACUCACCAGGAGCAACGGGGAUUGCAGAAACCACGAGUGCUAACAAAAUUCAGGAAGGCAGAGUGUGACUGUACCCAUCUCAAGUUCUACUGCUGCCCAUCCUGUUCCACUCUUUCCUGCUUUAGAUU